AAGCCAAAAGAUGUUAGUGUGACUCAGUAAUCCUUCCUGCUAAUAAGCACUUUGUUGGAGAAACUUUACUGCAUCCUGGAUGAGCCACAAAGGAGUGGUACAUUGUGCAACUAAAAACAAGCGACAGAAAGACACCUGCUCCAACAGAGUGGCUCAUGACAGCCUCGCCUGCUUGGCUUUCGGAUAUCAAGAGAGAACAAGAAAUUCUUCCUUUGUGGAAUCUGAAUCUAGAAAACAGCCUGCGUACUUCUUUCACUCGCUGGAGAACUAUUUAUAAGAGGU